CGCUCGCCGCCCCUCGGUUCGGUUCGGCUGAAUUCCCUCCAACCACCCUCGCGGGAAAAGUUCCAGAAACCAAGUCCUCCACCUCGCCAAGUUCUGGAGGAAAGGUAGCUCAAAAUGCAAGCCAGUCCAGUUUCUGGUGAAGACUCCACCUGUCCUACCAAUGGCCACUGCUUUCUCACUUCAGCUUCCUUCUUCAGAGACAUGAAGACUAAAGGAAAACUUCCAGUGUUGAAUAUACAGUGACGUAAGUUGUUUCAAGAAAAGAUUAGCAUUUGAAUUGGUGACUAAAAGAAGAAAAUCACCCUCAGCAAUGUAGAUGGACUUUAUCCUAUCUGUUAUGGGCCCAAAUAGAACCAAAAAUACCAGAAAAAUGCCAAAUGUACUCCUUCUGCUUGAGCUGAGCCAUCCUUCUUCGCCUGUGCUUGGACAUGGGUGCUCCUUGUUCUCAGGUCCCGGGCUUGGACUGGAACUACAUCACCUUGGAUCCUCUGUUUUCUUGGGCCUCCACCUUGUAGACACAAUAGUGGGCCUUCCCAGCCUCCCUAAAGAUAGCCAAUCCCAAUCUUCCUUUUACCCCUCUAUCUCUUUUUAUAUCUCUAUAUCCAUUGAUUCCAUUCUUCUGGAGAAUCAUAACACAAGGUCAACCACAUACCUUCCUUGCUCUUAUCUGAACCUGAGAAAAACAGGCAAAAAUCCUCCCCUUUUAACUCUAGCCAACUUCUCAUUCUCAUCUUAUGAGUAAUUAGCUAAAAUUAAAACCGUGUGUCUCCAGAAAUUGAUUAGACAUUUUCUUUUCAGAUAACAGGCUGAGACCUUCCUAGAUUGCCAAACAAUUGCAAAUGUAAUUCGCUUAUACCUUUUUAACUACCUGUUAGCAAAGUUUAAGGCAAUAACACUUUGCGGAAAAACUAAUCUUUCACUCAGGAAUGUAGUCUUCAUUAAAACAGAAUGGCCAAGAUCAGUCUCUUGGCCAGUUUUUGUCUUUAAUGGGUCUGAGGGAGGUGAGGAGAGAAAUUUUCAUCCUUCUUAGGGAUUGUUCAACUAGAUUUAGUAGCCAAAUCAUACAGUCACACACAGUAUGUUUUUAGGUAGUCAGGAGAAAAUUACCUUUGAUCAGUUGAGGCCGAUCUUGAGCCAGAGAGCAACUAGGGAGGAGGAGUUUCUGCAAGGAACCUCCAAUAAAAGAUCAAUAAAUUAUAUAGUUAUUUUAUUAUGAUUUGCAUAUGCCUUCUCCAAGAUUCAUGUUGAAACUUAAUUUACAUUGUGGUACUACUAUUCAGAGGUGGGGCCUUUUGCAAAGUGCAUAAAUCCCGAGGGCUCUGCCUUCAUGAAUGGAUUAGUGCUGGAGGGAGCUUGCUCAGGACUCUUGCACUCUCUUCUACCAUGUGAAAAAUAUGGCGUUUUGGAAGCAGAGACUAGGCCUUCACCAGAUACUGAACCUGCUGUCCUCUUGCUCUUAGUCUUCUCAGCAUCCAGCAUAAAUGAACUAAGAUGAUAAUGCGCAGUCAUUUUUAUAUUUUUUUCUUAAUAUUGUGUGGUCUUCAAUACUCAGUAGGUUAUUUUUAAUCUUUCAUCUUUGUUAUAAUUGAACUAAGGAGAAUUAAAGGAAGAGUCCUACAUUUUGUCUGGAGAGAAAUGAUCAGAAGGAUCAAUACUCUCUCUGGUAGUGGGUGAAAUUAAGCAUAAAUCUCAAGCAAAGAACUUUGAGGUCUGACUCUAUUAACUCUGAAUAUCUCUAUUGCCUAAAAAAAAAAAUAUGUUGAAUAAGGUCAGACACUAG